CUGCGCCCGGCCCAUUUUAACCCUUUUUAAGUGUACAGUUCAGUGGCAUUAAGUACCUUCAUAUCGUGGUGGAACCGUCACCUCCAUCCCUCUCCAGAAAUCUUCUCAUCUUCCCAAAGUGAGACUCUGUUCUCGUGUCCCGCAGCCCAGCCCCUGGCACUCGCCAUUCCACUGUCUGCCUCUGCGAAUGUGAUGACUCUAGGUACCCCCACAAGUGGAGUCACUCAGUGUUUGUCCUUCUGUAUCAGGCUUAUUUCACUUAGCAUGAUGUCCUCAAGGUUCAUCCAUGUUGCCGCAGACUCAGGAUCUCCUUCCUCUCUAAGGCUGACUCCCGUCCCAUUGUGUGGAGAGGUAACAUUUUCUCCACCCAUUCAUCACUGAUGGACGCUUGGGCUGCUUCCUCACUGGUUUUUAAAAAUUAUCUGUGGACAUCCAAACAGUGGAAAAUUGUGAGGCGAUUUUUAUAAAAAUGAAUGAGGCAGCCCUGCCCUGCCAUGGAAAUGUCCUCAAAAUGCAUUGUGAGUGAAAAAUCCCAGUGUGGGGGAGUGUGGACAGCAUGCUACCUUUUUGUGUAAUAUGGACAGAAAAGGGCGAUAUGUAUUUACAUUUCCUUGUCUUUGCAUAAAGAACCUACAGAAAGACAAGAAACGAAUAAAAGCAGUCACUUGUGGGUGGAGCGAAGGACCCUCAUUACGUGGCUGUUUUUGUACACAAGGGACGCGAUGCUCUGAUCACUCUGCACACUCCCCUACCCCAACUCAGUCACUCCCCACGACCCUUCCAGGAGCCACUGCCCGGCUCCUGACACCUAAGCAUAUGCUCCCACGAUCACAGCACGUUGCCCCCGGCUCCGCCGAGUCUCUGCACACGCUGAUCAGUCCGUCUGGCAUGUGUCUCUGCAGACUCCUUCCUGCCCUCAUCCCCCAGUGCAGCCGCCCUCGCCCAGCACGUUCCAGGCAGGCUGGAGCUCCUGCUGGAGGGAGGAGGAGCGGGCUGUCCCCGGGGGAUGGAGCAGCAGCAGCGUCCUCGGUGUCCCCAGCUGUCCUCAUGCAGAGGCCACAGGCAGGCAUGCCACAGACGCUGAGUGCCUCCGACAUGGUCACCCCAGGCAGCCUCAGCCCACCCACCACCGAGCCCACAGAUGGCGAACAGGCCGGGCAGCCCCUCCUGGAUGGAGCUCCAUCCUCGGCCUCCCUGGAAACACUGAUCCAGCACCUGGUGCCCACAGCCGACUACUACCCCGAGAAAGCCUACAUCUUCACCUUCCUGCUGAGCUCUCGCCUCUUCAUCGAGCCCCGGGAGCUCCUGGCCCGGGUCUGCCACCUGUGCAUCGAGCAGCAGCAGCUGGACAAGCCGGUGCUGGACAAGGCCCGGGUCCGGAAGUUCGGCCCCAAACUGCUGCAGCUGUUGGCCGAGUGGACCGAGACCUUCCCGAGGGACUUCCAGGAGGAGUCGACUAUCGGGCACCUUAAGGACGUGGUGGGCCGCAUCGCCCCCUGUGACGAGGCAUACCGGAAGAGGAUGCAUCAGCUCCUACAGGCUCUUCACCAGAAGCUGGCGGCUCUGCGCCAGGGGCCGGAAGGUCUGGUGAGUGCCGACAAGCCCAUCUCCUACAAGACCAAGCCGCCAGCCUCCAUCCACAGGGAGCUCCUUGGUGUCUGCAGCGACCCCUACACACUGGCCCAGCAGCUGACCCACGUGGAACUGGAGCGGCUGCGGCACAUCGGGCCGGAAGAGUUUGUCCAGGCCUUUGUGAACAAGGACCCUCUGGCCAGCACAAAGCCCUGCUUUAGUGACAAGACCAGCCACCUAGAGGCUUACGUGAAAUGGUUCAACAGACUGUGCUACCUGGUGGCAACCGAGAUCUGCAUGCCAGCCAAGAAGAAGCAGAGGGCCCAGGUGAUUGAGUUCUUCAUCGACGUGGCCCGCGAGUGCUUCAACAUCGGCAACUUCAACUCCCUCAUGGCCAUCAUCUCGGGCAUGAACAUGAGCCCUGUCUCCAGGCUAAAGAAGACCUGGGCCAAAGUGAAGACGGCCAAGUUUUUCAUCCUCGAGCACCAGAUGGACCCAACAGGGAAUUUCUGCAACUACAGGACAGCCCUUCGAGGGGCAGCCCACCGCUCCCUGACGGCCCACAGCAGCCGAGAGAAGUUCAGCUGUCCAGAACCCACCACACCAGGACUGGGGACUCAGCACCACCGAGGGAGGGCACAGACACAGACCACCCCCCCAAUCCCCCCCUACCACUGAUCCCGGCACGGUGAGGAAGAGGCAGGAUGGGGCACUAGGGCAGAGCACCUGGGACUCAGCCCUGCUUCCGCUGCUCACUGCUGUGUGAGCUUAUGCAAGAUUGUCAUUCCCUUCUUCAGCCUGCUCAUCAAAGACAUCUACUUCCUGAAUGAGGGCUGUGCCAACCGCCUUCCCAAUGGACACGUCAACUUUGAGAAAUUCCUGGAGCUGGCCAAGCAGGUGGGCGAGUUCAUCACCUGGAAACAAGUGGAGUGUCCCUUCGAGCAAGACCCCAGCAUCACCCACUACCUGUCCACCGCCCCCAUCUUCAGUGAGGAUGGUCUUUAUUUGGCUUCUUAUGAAAGUGAGAGCCCAGAGAACCAAACAGAAAAAGAGAGAUGGAAAUCUCUAAGAUCUUCUAUUUUGGGGAAGACAUGAAAGCGCUGAGCUGAGGGAGGAGGAAGAGAUGGAGCCCGCAGAAGCCGUCCACAGCCCUGCCUCGGAUGGCCCAGCGGGCAGAGGCAGGGGAGCGCCUCACUACUUUGCAAAUGCCGACCCCGUGGCCUGCUGCCCCUCGCAGUGGCCAUACGGGCACAGGAGACCUUUUGUGGGACUUCAGCCCUGGCAGGACCCAGGGCCUCCAGACGUGUGGGUGGCACAUGCCUUGGGGACAUCCUGCCUUCAGGACCGUGGGGCCUGGUCAGUCUGUCCAUCCUCGGCAAGGACACAACACUGCCGCAGAGGGUGGGGCCACUGCAAGCUCGAGACCUUGGUGACAUGUGCCACUUUGGCCACCACCCACAGUCUGUCACCAGGUGGCUUGGGAACUUCUGGAACCACAGCAGGCAUCACGGUGCGAAGUGAGAUCCCCACGCCAGCCCCGAGCCCACCAGCGGCCACUGCCAUUCCGCCCAUGGUCCCUCACCCUGCCCUGCCGACGAGCUUGUCUCUGCAGCCCAGGUACCCGCUUCCUGGACGCUGCUGGCCCCAGGAGAUAGCUUUCUGGUAACAGCUGUGGAACGGGUCAGCAGGACAAACUGGACACCCGGAGUCACAGUGUGUACACGGCAGUCCCGCCACCCAGCCCCUUGUAAACUCUAGUCGCUAUAAACACACCCAUACACCCUGGC